rnacentral:rRNA from 1 species
GCGAAGAACCUUACCUGGGUUUGACAUCGCCGGAAAUCUUCCAGAGAUGGGAGGUCCUUCGGGGGCCGGUGACAGGUGGUGCAUGGCUGUCGUCAGCUCGUGUCGUGAGAUGUUGGGUUAAGUCCCGCAACGAGCGCAACCCUUGUCCUAUGUUGCCAGCACGUGAUGGUGGGGACUCAUGGGAGACUGCCGGGGUCAACUCGGAGGAAGGUGGGGACGACGUCAAGUCAUCAUGCCCCUUAUGUCCAGGGCUUCACCCAUGCUCCAAUGGCCGGUACAGAGGGCUGCGAUACCGUGAGGUGGAGCGAAUCUCUUAAAGCCGGUCUCAGUUCGGAUCGGGGUCUGCAACUCGACCCCGNGAAGUNCGGAGUCGCUAGUAAUCGCAGAUCAGNAC